UAGGUACGCGAAGUUCCAAUUUGUUGCGGCAUCUGGAAAAGAGUUUCUUUCCUUCGUUGUGUUUUCUGCUUGUUCCUGGAUACAUGGUAAGGUCUCUAGAUGUAGUGAAGAUUAUAUUCAUCGUUUGACUUCCUAUCGCUGGUACUAGUGUUUGUGCUUAGUUUGGGAGGGCGAUAGUCUGCUUCGAUGCUGCAGCAGAAGCGGCCAGGUAUGGUUUCACGGUAGUGGACAGGCCAGAGGGGUUUCUGGUAUUGGCAGUUGCAUCUUUAGGCGAAGAUGUGAUUGAAAACUAACUGGUGCUCCAGAGGUGCAUAUUUUUAUUACUAAUUUCAUAACUUAUUCAUGUUUCAUUUUAUCAUGGUUCCAAAUGUGGUCUUUGGUCUGUGGUCUGCGAAGGACGCAGCAGAACUGGAGGAGAAGAAACGUGGGGUAAUCGGGCGAGGGAGGAAGAAGACAGAUGAGUCAGAGUAUUUUAUGUGGAAUGAUGUCAAUGUGUCAUGUGGUAAGCUAGUCCCAUCGGAGCAUAAGGACAGCCCCCUCGAGUACAAUGAGUGUGUUGUCUACGAUUUAGAAUAAGUGAGUAUAAAGUUUCUGGUGGCUAUGAAGUUUGAGGAGAAGGAUUUCUACUCUUCUGACUGGACGUUGCAGAACAUUGCAUCCAAAGAUUCUACAGAGGUGCAGAGGGUAGAGCUUGUAGCUUCAGUUGCACCCAUGCAACAAUCAAGAAAUUUAAAGAUGCAUUGGCCAAACAUG